UACGGAGGGCGCAAGCGUUAUCCGGAAUCACUGGGUUUAAAGGGUGCGUAGGCUGUUAUAUAAGUCAGUGGUGAAAGGCCGUAGCUUAACUAUGGGAUUGCCAUUGAAACUGUGUAACUUGAAUCAGGUUGAGGUUGGCGGAAUGUGACAUGUAGCGGUGAAAUGCUUAGAUAUGUCAUGGAGCAUCGAUUGCGAAGGCAGCUGACUGGACCUUGAUUGACGCUGAGGCACGAAAGCGUGGAGAGCGAACAGG
rnacentral:rRNA from 1 species